CCUACGGGAGGCAGCAGUAGGGAAUCUUCCACAAUGGGCGAAAGCCUGAUGGAGCAACGCCGCGUGAGUGAUGAAGGCCUUCGGGUUGUAAAACUCUGUCAUUCGGGACGAACCGGAGUCUGAGGAAAUGCAGACUCUCUGACGGUACCGGAGGAGGAAGCCCCGGCUAACUACGUGCCAGCAGCCGCGGUAAUACGUAGGGGGCAAGCGUUGUCCGGAUUCACUGGGCGCAAAGCGCGCGCAGGCGGUGAUGUAAGUCUGAGGUGAAAACCCGAAGCUCAACUUCGGGACUGCCUUGGAUACUGCGUCACUUGAGGAUAGGAGAGGCAAGGGGAAUUCCACGUGUAGCGGUGAAAUGCGUAGAGAUGUGGAGGAACACCUGUGGCGAAGGCGCCUUGCUGGCCUAUUUCUGACGCUGAGGCGCGAAAGCGUGGGGAGCAAACAGGAUUAGAUACCCUGGUAGUCCACGCUGUAAACGAUGAGUGCUAGGUGUAGGUGGGCUCAUACCCAUCUGUGCCGAAGCUAACGCAUUAAGCACNCCGCCGUCGGGAGGUACGGUCGCGAGACGUAGAACGUACAAGUAGAAGUUAGUUACGGCGUUGGAGGACGNGGCCGACGGACGACGACGAGGGGAGGAGG
rnacentral:rRNA from 1 species